rnacentral:rRNA from 1 species
GACGAACGCUGGCGGCGUGCUUAACACAUGCAAGUCGAACGGAAAGGCCCUGCUUUUGUGGGGUGCUCGAGUGGCGAACGGGUGAGUAACACGUGAGUAACCUGCCCUUGACUUUGGGAUAACUUCAGGAAACUGGGGCUAAUACCGGAUAGGAGCUCCUGCUGCAUGGUGGGGGUUGGAAAGUUUCGGCGGUUGGGGAUGGACUCGCGGCUUAUCAGCUUGUUGGUGGGGUAGUGGCUUACAAAGGCUUUGACGGGUAGCCGGCCUGAGAGGGUGACCGGCCACAUUGGGACUGAGAUACGGCCCAGACUCCUACGGGAGGCAGAAGUGGGGAAUAUUGCACAAUGGGCGGAAGCCGGAUGCAGCAACGCCGCGUGCGGGAUGACGGCCUUCGGGUUGUAAACCGCUUUCGCCUGUGACGAAGCGUGAGUGACGGUAAUGGGUAAAGAAGCACCGGCUAACUACGUG